rnacentral:lncRNA from 1 species
CUUGAUUUAAGAAACAGAUGUGAAAGUUGAUUUAAGAAACGAUCGACACGACUUCAGAAAACUAUGUGAAACUUGAUUUAAGAGAAACCAGUUCGACUGAUGUGGAAGACUCCGACCAUGUGGAAACGGAGCCUGUUGGGCCUUCCUCCAGGACUGACAGUUGAAACGAUCGAUGGAAUGAUCAGCGCAAACAGAAAAUAUUACUGUUACUGUAAUAUUAUAUGAUAUUCUCUAUAUCUAAGAUAUAUAUUAUAUAUAUGAUGUAAGAUAAGAUAUAUAUUAAAUAUAUAAUGUAAUAUAUAUUAUAUAACAUGUACUAUAUAUAUAUAUAUAUAUAUAUACACACACACACACAUAUGUAUCACGUAAUAUAUAUAUAUAAUGUAAUAUAAUAUUGCUGUUACUGGAAAGAUGACCGCAAGAAUUGAUUUUUUCUUCUACCAGAAGUUUUCUUCGCUGUGUUUUAAGUUGGCGAUUUGCUUUGAU